ACGGCAAUUACAGAAUACAGGCCGAGUUUGUUUCUGAGAGCAGAAGACAAGUCAGAGGAGAUUCAUGGACAGGUUCAAGAUAUGAUCGACAGUCUGAGCUCGGCCGCGAGACGAGCGAGUGACGGUGACGCCAGUGACGUCAAGCGUGACGGACAGCUUCUGGGUUUCGGAGGCCGGUGUGGUUGGUACAACGACAAGUGUUCCGCUUGGACCACCCACUGCUGUGAUCCUUGGAAGUGCAAGUACCAGAAAUGGACCCAUCGCUUCUCCAAGACUGGGGGUCGCUGCCUCUAGACGCUGAGGUCGAUUAAUA